rnacentral:sRNA from 1 species
CGCACACGGGUGCGCGGGUCGGUUCUUUUGUGCCGAUCCAUCCGGUGUCAGGGAUGGCCCUGAUAACACCGCCCCGUGGAGGCUCAACCGGAAAAGAGGACAUCA